AAAGGAAUUGACGGGGGCCCGCACAAGCGGAGGAACAUGUGGUUUAAUUCGAUGAUACGCGAGGAACCUUACCUGGGCUUAAAUGUAGGCUGCAUGGAACAGAGAUGUUCCUUCCCUUCGGGGCUGCUUACAAGGUGCUGCAUGGUUGUCGUCAGCUCGUGCCGUGAGGUGUCGGGUUAAGUCCCAUAACGAGCGCAACCCUUACCGUUAGUUGCCAUCGGGUCAAGCCGGGAACUCUAGCGGGACUGCCACCGUAAGGUGAGAGGAAGGUGGGGAUGACGUCAAAUCAGCACGGCCCUUAUGUCCAGGGCUACACACGUGUUACAAUGGCCGGUACAGAGGGCAGCUACUUAGCGAUAAGAUGCCAAUCCCGAAAGCCGGUCCCAGUUCGGAUUGGAGUCUGCAACCCGACUCCAUGAAGUUGGAUUCGCUAGUAAUCGCGCAUCAGCCAUGGCGCGGUGAAUACGUUCCCGGGCCUUGUACACACCGCCCGU
rnacentral:rRNA from 1 species